rnacentral:lncRNA from 1 species
UACGCAACAGUGAUUGGGCAACAUCGUUUGCGUUCUCAGCCUCAAUUAUCUCCAGCAAGUCGACAUCAAAAGUAGGCAAAUUCGUAGUGGGGGCUAUGUCUUUUCCCCGAUCCGACUUCCCUUCGCCGGCAGAGGUUUCAGGUUGAGGGGAAGUUGCAGUGAGAUCUUUAUAACCAGGUGGAUGUUCCGGGGAACUGUCGACCUUCUCAUCCUUGGGGACAUUAUAUGUGUCCCACCCUGACCCUAUCGACUUUUCAGGGGUCGGGGGCUUGUCAAACAAUUUUCCAUAUGUCGCUUUGUAAAUGUUAAAGCUCAGUAACUAACUUCAUGCGGGCACGUCGCUCCUCCUCUAAUGCCUCUAUAACUGUCUUUAACCGAACUUCCAUUGUCACUGAAAAUUCUUCAAAUUGUUGCUUAGAAACAAACUCAAACUUAUGCGUAUAAAAAACAAUGAUUUCAUAUCAUAAGUCCACCAAAACCAAUAUCCAGUUAGAAACAAUACAUGCCUAUAAAUUCAAACUACAAUUUACGGGGAUUUAUGUACUCACUGUUGACCGGGAUGAUGAUGGCAACGCUCCCAAGUGUGUGUGGUAUCCCUUCUUCGCCUUCCAUUUGGGUCCAGAUGAAGGCGUGGCCUUAGAGUCCUAAUCAGCAUCCGCAACACCUUUACUUUUGUCUUCUGGUGUUGCAUCUGUACCAGCCUCAACAUCAUCAAAUAUGACAUUCCAGUAAGGUGCCAUCUUUUCUUCCUUGGUCGGAGUAAUCGGGUGGACAACAACCUACAUCGGACAAAAUCGGUGUUGCAUACAUAAGUAAAACCAAUUCAAAAUACAAAAUUCACUAAGUUUAUUAAAACUCGAAUAAACACAUACCUUUUUUUUAGCAAAAAUACUGCUAUUCAGCUUGUGAUGGGACGGAUUUAGGUAGGUGUCCCAACAGCAAGUCGGGGGCAAUAACUAAGGGUUCUCCGUGUGCACAUUCGCAUAGUUUUUUUACCUCAAGUACUACAAUGUUUCAAACAACCAAAUCUACAAAAUUUAAAGCAAUAAUGUCAAUAAAUUGUAGCGAAAAUGAAGGCAAAAGUGUGUUCAACUUAUAAGAGUCCCGGACCGUUCCCCCAGUUUCUCUACAGAUUUUUCUUUUACAACCUUGUGGCGGGUCAAAGCGGCUGCGGAUAUGCUUGGCAUCAACACCUGGAAUGAUGCGGUUCUUUAGGGAUAUCUCUCCCAUUUUUCUACAUAUUCUACCAAUUGAAGCAGGUGGUAGUUAAUGGCCAACUCCUUCUCCUUGCCCAAAACAACAAAGUGGACAAAGUACAGUAGACCGAGCUUGUACCUAUCUUUUGGAUGUUGGCACAUGUUGAAUUACUCCUUCGAUUGUUUAUAGGGUUAUCUUAUUCUUCCCCCUGAAAUAGAUGUCUCUAAGACAACAUUCAUCAUCCUUCACUUUGGGAGGGGGGUGGGGAGGGAUUCUCCAAAACUGAGUCCCGUCACCAUACAUAAUUUGGGCCUCCUGAAAGUCGCAACAUGUUCCCAAAUGAAGGAUAAGGUGUCACAUCCUAGCCCGGGCCCCCACCAUAUCUCAGGCUCGACUCCCCCGUAACACGUUAUUGUUCGUUUUGGGCCUCGAUCAUGCCCUCACGGUUUUGUUUCUGGGAACUCACACGAGAACUUCCUAGUGGGUCACCCAUCCUGAGAUUGCUCUCGGGCGAACUCGCUUAACUUCGGAGUUCCGAUGGAACCCGAAGCCAGUGAGUUCCCAAAAGGCCUCGUGCUAGGUAGAGAUGGGAAUAUACAUAUAAGGCUUACAUGAUCCACUCCCUUGGGUGAUGUGGGAUGUUACAAUCCACUCCCCUUAGGGGCCCGACGUCCUCAUCGGCACACAUCUGGCCAAGGAUUGGCUCUGAUACCAACUUGUCACAUCCCGGCUCGGGCCCCCACCACAUCCUAGGCUCGACUUCGCCGUAGCAUGAUAUUGUCCACUUUGGGCCCUAACCACACCCUCACGGUUUUGUUUUUGGGAACUCAAACGAGAACUUCCUAGUGGGUCACCCAUCCUAGGAUUGCUGUCGGGUGAACUCACUUAACUUCGGAGUUCCGAUAGAACCCGAAGCCAGUGAGUUCCCAAAAGGCCUUAUGCUAGGUAAAGAUGGGAAUAUACAUAUAAGGCUUACAUGAUCCACUCCUCUGGGCAAUGUGGGAUGUUACAAAAGGAAUCAUCACGCACUUUAUCCUUAAUAGCUUAAGGAUAACGUAGUGGGUAAGCUGCCCGAACCAGUCAAUGUGAUCCACAUCAACCAAAUGGCCAAAUCAUGAAGCUUCAAAUUUGUUCAGUAGAUCCUUUGUAAAUCGACCUCUAAUAUUUCCCAGACACCCCGAGCAUAUGACAGACAAGAGAUGGUUGCAGGAAACACCUCAUGCGACGAACACACGAGUUCCGUCGGAGACACAUAUUUGACUUUAGAACUGCAAUAUUUAGAACAUAAGCAAAUCAAUUAAAUAAGAUAAGCAUGCACAGAGGAUAUGCACAUCAUAUGCAUAUUGUCUGCCCAAAUUAAACCAGUUCAUCCACCAACUACAAGUAUGACGAAAAUCAACGCGUGCACAGGAUAUGCACAAUAUAUGCACAUAAUAUACAUAUACUAUGCACAAAUUUAAUGAAUUCAUGAACCAAAUUCAAGCGUGCCCAAUAUAUAGACAUGCACGGAUUAUGCAUGCAGUAUGCACGAAUUGAUGAACAUAUUUCAAUCAAUUAAUUUCCACCAACCUCUAAACCACAUGCACGAUAUAAAUUAACAUCAAACAACUUAACUGUACAAAACACUAAUUCGCACCCAAAACCCAAAAUUCCCAAUUUUACAUAACCUAGGUUCAAAAAAUUAAAUUUUAUUUCAAAGCGUACCUCUUUUUGGAUUUUGCCAUUGAAAUUUUUUGGAAAGGAUGUGCAAAUGCUAGGGUGGAAACAUCUUUUUCAAAUAUUUCGAAAGGAUGUGCAAAUGCACAGUACAACAACUCCUAAAUGUAUAGAGUGGAUGGAAAAGGUUGCGUUGGUCGGAAACUGGGGUGAAAAAGGGUUGCGUUGGCCAGAAAUGGGGUAGAAGAUGUUGCGUCGGUCGAAAAUGGGGUGGAAGAAGGUCGCGCUAUUUGGGGUUAGGGUUGUUGGAGCUAAGGGUUGGG